GGAACCUGGUUGAUCCUGCCAGUAGUCAUAUGCUUGUCUCAAAGAUUAAGCCAUGCAUGUCUAAGUAUAAACAACUUUAUACUGUGAAACUGCGUACAGCUCAUUAUAUCAGUAAUAAUUUAUUUGAUGGUCCCUUACUACAUGGAUACCCGUAGUAAUUCUAGAGCUAAUACAUGCGUAAAGACCCGACUCAC
rnacentral:rRNA from 1 species